rnacentral:misc_RNA from 1 species
CUGGACUUCUUUGUUUCCUUUUGUUCCAAAAGUUUCAUUGCUUUUUCAUAUCAUACACAAGACUGUUGAAAAGAAUAUGUGCAGAAAAUAAAUUAAGUCUUGAACAGAGUAUUAAAAGUAGAUUUGUUGACAAAUCCACACUUGUCGCUGUUAUAUCAGGAGUUAUUCCUCUUGUCAUAACUACCGUAUUCAUUGUUGCGCAGCUACUAGUAUGUUGAUCUUUUAUGAAUUUAUAUUUUAGAAAUAAACAAAUAUAUAGACAUUU